rnacentral:rRNA from 1 species
AGGGUUUGAUUAUGGCUCAGAUUGAACGCUGGCGGCAUGCCUUACACAUGCAAGNCGAACGGUAACAGGUCUUCGGAUGCUGACGAGUGGCGAACGGGUGAGUAAUACAUCGGAACGUGCCCGAUCGUGGGGGAUAACGCAGCGAAAGCUGAGCUAAUACCGCAUACGAUCUACGGAUGAAAGCGGGGGANCGCAAGACCNCGCGCGGACGGAGCGGNNGAUGGCAGAUUAGGNAGUUGGUGGGAUAAAGGCNNACAAAGCCGACGAUCUGUAGCUGG